GGUCCUGGCAUGGCUGCUCAGAUUUCAGACAAACACUCUUUAUUAAGGUCUCUGGUCAUCUUUUCUCCUCUUUUCAAAUCAAGUUCAAGUCCUUCCUCUGAAAAGCUUUCUGUGGCCAUCUGGAUAUCUGUUCCUUAGGAUGGUGAGCAUCUAGUGUUAUGAAUACUAAGAAUAACAGUUUGGAUAGAUGCAGCGCUCACUCUGUGCCAAUCAUUUAGCAUACAGCAUGCCACACACCUUCAUAAUGGGCCUGCAAGAUGAGUGUUAGCUUUCUGGAGAGGAAACAGAGGUGCAGAGAGGUCAGGCAACAUGGUCAAGGUCACCUGGCAGGGUAAGGAGCAGGUCCCAAGUGCAUCCAGCUUCUCAUGACCAACCUCUCUGUUGCAGGUGCUGGUUCCUGUCAUUCACAUCUAUGGUUUGUGUUAGAUGUAUGUAGUCACUGUAUCUUCUUGAGUGCUGGCCUCCCGUCUGUCCAGAGGGCCCUUGAGCUCUUGCAGGUGGAGACCAUGUCUUAAAUGUCUUGCCUCUUUCUUGUCUCCCCCCUGAGCAUCGAGAACCAACUAGACCCAUAAAAAAUCUUCCCUGUUGUGGUGGUCCUCUGUCCCUGUGCACUUUCUACCUGUCAUGGCUCGUCACUGACGCCUGCCUCUAGCCUUCGCAGACUGGGACCCUCCCUGAGCAGCCACAGUCCCACAUCAGCCCUACAGUUUCUCCUUUGCUUGUGACAAAUAUGGGGCUGGCACUUUAUAGCAGGGAAAGCAGCAGCAGCAGGAGCUGAUCAAUUCCUAAGCAACGAAGAUCCUGUUUUCAUGCAAACGUCCUCAGCAUUAAAACAAAAACAAAUUCCUCACAGGGCGCGUCCUGGAUGCCAAGUCUCUUCACAAGACACAUUUUUAAAGCAAAGUUUUGCGCCUGCGCGAGUCACAAGCAGGAACUGGAAGGAGAGCUGCCUGCCAAGUGCUGUCUCCAGGUGCUCUCCUUACAACCUCACAGGCACCCAACCGCUAGCCACAGUGGCUUCCCGAUGUGACGGAUGAGGAAACAGGCAGAGAGGACUGGGAGAGUGUGUCCAGGGUCCAUCAGCUGGCAAAUGGCAGCAAGGUGAUCUGGCCAGGUCUGACUGGACUGUUUCUGACACAGACACUGGUGUGACUAUAUUCAUGAGAGACCAGGGGCAGACUGGGACCAUUUCAGAUGACUGUAGGCAAAACCUUUUUAUUUAAAAGAAGGAUGGUGUAUGAUAUCGAGUCUCUCCUGACUACAUACCCAGUCCUGGGUGUGAAUCUGGGUGAACCACGGGAACUAACUCUAUGCUGGUUAGCGUAUGAUGCCCACAGAAAGACUCAGGAGGGACAGUCCCUGACUCCAGGGGCUCUGAACAUGGUGCUGAAUUCCUCGCCUCAGAGGCCAACAGCAAAUAACAAGAGGGUUACGAGGUGAGGCAGGACAUUUAAGGAGAAUGGCAGCAAGCGUCCUCAGCUCCACAGAGGUGGGGCCACGGAGUGCUAAGUGAACUGGGAAGGCUUCCUGGAGGAGGGAGAUGCUCCAAUUCCACAAGAGGGUCUCUUUAACAGACAUCCCUGGCUUGAUGCCAGGGGAUCUGGAGCCCUCCAACACCAGUACCACCAGGUCAUCACCAGGGUCACUGGGCCUGCCCAGUGUUCAUAGGAAAGAGCCCAGAGGGCAUCUAGCCUCCAGUGGGCUCUGGUGGCUUUGUCUUUGAGGAUCUCGGGUAUCCAGAGGCAGCACACGUUGAUGAGUCAGAUGUCACAUGGUUCAUGUCUGGCAAAAGGCCAGGAAUACCAGGACGGUGGCAUGCUUGUGCUGUGGGAUCCCCUGGUGCCACUCACUUCUGCUGAUUCUUCAUCCCAGACUCAAGGUCCGACUGCAGUUCAAACCUCCUUCCCCGGCUCUCUGAAAUGUUCUCUGCAGUCCCUUCCCACCCCAGGGGUGGGACCCUGCCUUCUCCAGGUGUCCAGCAGCGCACUGGGCCUGGAGCUGGAGACACCAGGGUCAGGACACCUGGCCGCAGCCUCCUAGAGCAGCCUGACAAGCUCCCCAAAUGCAUCUCUCAUGGCACCAUUAGCACCCAGGCAAAGGCCAGGAACUGUGAAGGGGGGAUUAGUGGGCAAAUAUGGCAGAGGAAGAGGGCCAGCGAAGGGGAUUGGUGGAGGCCAAGAGAGACAAGAAUCUGCUAAGCAGAGUGGAAAGAGUGGGGCUUGGUGUGCAGACAGCCUGGGCUGGAACCCCACCCUGUCAGUGUGUCGGGGACUGCGGGUACUCCCCAGGAUCCAGGCUCUCCUCUUCCCCGCAGACUUGCAGUGGACGACAUUGCCCAGCCUUCCUUCCUAUGAGGCGUGGCCCUAUGCCUACAUCCUGGCCAGUGGAAAGACAGCAGAAGUGUCGUGGGGUAAUUCCAAGCCUGGCCCAUAAAAAUCUCCCACUUGUGGUUCCUGCACUUACCUCACCCGGCAGCUGAAUGGAGAGAAAACCCAGGACUAGAGGUAGACAGAUUGCCAAGACGGAAGGGGCCUGGGUCCCUGACGCACCCCGUGGAAGACUGCAUGCUAAACACACACCCUGAAUCGUGCAAACGAGAUCAACUCCUCGCGUGCGGAGCCAUUUAUAUAUGGGUUGUUACAGCUGUGGCCCCAUGUGACUGAUAGAGUCUCUGACUUGCCAUGCCGUGUUGGACCAGUUCCUUAGCCUCCCUAGGCUCUGGCUUUCUCAUUUGUAAAGUGAGAAUUUUAAAAGCAUUCCUGAGAAUGACUGAGCUCAGACUUAAAAAGCUCCUACAACCAGGCAUGGUGACUUUUGUGAGUCUUAGGUACUUCUGCCUUCGUGGGCCCCUUCCUCCAGACAUACAUAAAUAACAUGCAAUUUUAAUUCAAUUAAUUCAAAAUAAAUAAUUUGAAGUUAGGUUUUAUGACUGCACGGAUACAAAUAGGAACAUAAAAUCAGGCCGGAUCCAAAAUUAUGUCUAUUCCUCUUUAGCAUUUUUACACUACAUUUUAUCAUCGUUAUUACUAUAUUCCUUUUUCUUUCUGAUUUUAAAAGAAAUAAAAAUUAAAAAUUUUCUGGGCCCCUGCAAGAAUGUUGGG
rnacentral:lncRNA from 1 species